rnacentral:lncRNA from 1 species
UUCACUGGGAUAAGUUUUGCUAGAGUUAUUAGCAAAGAGUCGAUCAACAAAACCAGACGUGAUUGUGGCAAAUCUUAUAUACGUAGAUAUAACCUACAAAAAACUUACAUAAUCCCUCGUGGCGAAGUUUUCUUGCAAGCCAUAAAUUCAGAGGAAUCUGUGUUGAUCUGUGCUAGUGCCUAGUGAAAACAAUAAUCAACCAAGGUAUGUCUGCCGUGAGCUAGGAAAGUGACCAGUAUAAUUUAUGCGAAUGAAGUUUAUAGGACAGAGGACAGGAGCCCUAUCUUUCUUAGCAGCCUAAGUGCGCAUAAGUGCAUAUACGGGGUGCUCCACGAGAGGCGUAUCACCGAAGUGAUCCCCCAAUCUACAAGGGGUAGAAUUCGAUUCCCCCCUCUUCUGCUCCGAAACGCCGAGCCCCGAAAACCUCUGACUUGGGUCAACUUUAGUGAGGCGUAGCAACCCUUGAAAGCCCAGCGCGUAAGGCGGCGCCUCGGAACAUUGAGCGUGAUUUUGACGGAGGAGCCACCGCCAAGAGCAGGACAGAUGUUCGGAGUUAUGCUGUGUUAAUUUGCACAUUUUCUGGGAUUAAGUUCAAUAUGCCAUUUUAAGGCCAAUUCUCUGGCAGUUACGUAUAUGUAUAUUCAAGCAUCGGAAAUCAUGAUAGUUUGUAGAAAAGAGUGGGUGGGUUUAGCCACUGCAAAUAAAUUUCUUCAUUGUGGCUAUAAUAAUGAUCCAAACGGAUCCCAAUUUGGUGAUCUGAUAGAUAUGGUCAUUCCCCACAGAACGGUUUUUAGUUUUCUUUAAUUUCUUCAAAAUUGUAGGUUUGGGAGGUUUUCGGCCUUUUUCGGGGGCGGGGCUCAUUUUUGAAAUACAAUUGUAACAGUGUGAGCAUACAGAAGUCUGGAUGCAAAAUUUGGUGGCUCUAGCUUUUA